UCUACGGGGUGCUGCAGUGGGGAAUAUUGCACAAUGGGCGAAAGCCUGAUGCAGCAACGCCGCGUGAAGGAAGACGGUUUUCGGAUUGUAAACUUCUAUCAAUAGGGAAGAAAGACAUGACGGUACCUAACUACGAAGCCCCGGCUAACUACGUGCCAGCAGCCGCGGUAAUACGUAGGGGGCAAGCGUUAUCCGGAAUUACUGGGUGUAAAGGGAGAGUAGGCGGCAAGGUAAGCGAUAUGUGAAAGCCUUAAGCUUAACUAAAGGAUUGCAUAACGAACUAUCUAGCUAGAGUACAGGAGAGGAAAGCGGAAUUUCUAGUGUAGCGGUGAAAUGCGUAGAUAUUAGGAAGAAAACCAGUGGCGAAGGCGGCUUUCUGGACUGAAACUGACGCUGAGGCUCGAAAGCGUGGGGAGCGAACAGGAUUAGAUACCCCAGUAGUC
rnacentral:rRNA from 1 species